UUGGGUAUUCUGUACCUUUUUUUUUUUAAUUAGGUAUUUUCCUCGUUUACAUUUCCAAUGCUAUCCCAAAAGUCCCCCAUACCCACCCCCCCAAUCUCCUACCCACCUGCUCUGUACCUUUCUUGUUUUUUGUUUUUUUGUUUUUAUUUUUGCUAAUAUCCACUCAUUAGUGAGUACAUACCGUGCAUGUCCUUUUAGGUUUGAAUUACCUCACUCAGGAUGAUAUUUUCUAGUUCCAUCCAUUUGCCUGCAAAACUCAGGAUGUCCUCGUUCUUAAUAGCUGAGUAGUAUUCCAUUGUUUAAAUGAACAUUUUCUGUAUCCAUUCUUUUGUCGUGGAACGUCUAGGUUGUAUCCAGCCUCUGGCUAUCACAAAUAAGGCCGCUAUAAACAUAGUGGAACAUGUGUCCCUGGGGCAUGGUGGGGCCUCUUUUGGGUAUAUUCUCAAGAGUGGUAUAUCUAGGUCUUCAGGUAGAUCUAUUUCCAAUUUUCUGAGGAACCUCCAAAUUGAUUUCCAGAGUGGUUGUACCAGUUUACAUGCAUAUAUAUUGUUUAUUGUCCUAGUUUGCUUUAUACUGUGACCAAAUACAAUUUGAUUUUUGUAACACUUCUAUGUAAUAGUCCAUCAUUGAGGGAAAUCAGGGCAGGCACUCAGGCGGGAAUUAAGGCAGAGGCUGUGGUGGAAUGCUGCUUACUAGCUUGUUCUCAUGGUUCACUUAGCUUAAUUUUUUUUUUAUACAACCAAGGGCUACCUGCACAGGGGUGACACUACCCACAGUGAGCUUCAUCCUCCCACAUCAAUCAUUAAUCCAGAGAAUGCCUCACAUACUUGCCUACAGGCCAGUGUUUUUGAUGCAUUUCCUUGUUUAACGUUCCCUCUUCCCAGAUGACUCCAGUCUGUACUAAGUGGGCAAAAACCUAAUCAGCAUAAACAUGUAUUUAAGGAAACAUUAAAUGAUAUGCUUUACAAUAGCUUUUUCAAAAGGUCGUGCUUUUUUUUCCCUUUCUUUUCUUUACAUAUUUUGGGAUGGUGUUUUGAGAUAAGUUGUCACUCUGUAGCCUAGAUUGGCCUGGAACUCAUUACAUAGACCAGACAACUAAGCCUUAUAUUCAUGACUCUUCAAUUGCAUCAGCCUCCUGAGUGCCGGAAUUUUAGGUUUGAACCACCACACCGGGAUAGAAUGUGCUUUUGAGCAAUGUAUUCUUUCCAAGGUAGUGGAUUUUUUUUUUUUUGAGCAAUGUAUUGUUAUACACAUGUAUAUGAGAAGACAGAGAUUUGGAUAUAUUAUGUACACUCUUAAACUCCAGAAGUAAAGUGGAAGUGGUAAAAAGAAAAAAGUUUUAUGACAUUCAUUCUGCUUCAGAUUAAUGGCAGUAACACAUUUGUUAGCAGAUAGAUUGUAUUAGAUUCAUCUUGACAUUUGUG
rnacentral:lncRNA from 1 species